UUUGCCCUCAAAAGGAAAAUACACCAGAAUUCUCAUCAUGUUCUGGGCUUCCUUCCUUCUCUUAUUGCUGGUCAACUCCUCAGGAUCCUUUGCCCAGUAUGUCCUGACCCAGCCGGCAUCCAUGUCUGUCUCCCUGGGGCAGAAUGAAAGGAUCACUUGUUCAGCAAGCAACAUUGAAAGGAAGGAUGUUCACUGGUACCAGCAGAAGCCUGGAGAUCCUCCUGUUCUGAUUAUAUAUGAUGAUAGUGAAAGACCCACAGGGAUCUCAGACCGAUUCUCCGGCACCAACUCGGGAAACACGGCCACCCUGAGCAUCUCCGGGGCCCAAGCACAGGAUGAGGCAGUAUAUUACUGUCAGGUGUGGGACAGUGAUCAGUGCACAGUGAUACAAACUAAAGGGGAAGUGCAGCAAAAACUGCUUCUGAGGCAUUCAACCAUCUGGACUGGCUUGGAGAAGCUCAACCAUCCCCAACAAGGAAGAUCUCCCUGUUCCAAAGGGGGAGGGAUGCCGAGCUAA